rnacentral:lncRNA from 1 species
UUUGGAUUGACUAUUUUUUCAAAAAAUAAGUUUUUCAAAUACAAUGUUACAGUAAUAUACAAUAACUCAAGAAAUAUCCCAUCCAUAUUAGUAUAUCAAAUAUUUCAAAAAAAAUUUAUAGUAAAAAUUUUUCAUAUACACGGCUACAAUAAAAUAUUUCAAAAACACCUACCAAAAACAGCUAAUCCAAACGGAGCCCUUGCCAUUUGAGCCCAAUGGGUACCCAAGUAUUUCCCAUCCUUUCCCAUUCAUUAAUGGGUAUAGUUGGGAUGUGUCCCAACUUAAACCCAAUACCAAAUUAUAAUACCCAUCCCGCCCAAAGUUCCUUUGGGCAUGGGUAGC